CACUCUACAGGGUCACAGUGAACGUGGGAGAGCCGUGAUAAUGGUGGUCUUGACAUCUGGACUGAGCUGAAAGCACAGAGACAAGGUGCACAAUAUGGGAAACAUCCUGGUUGAGCAGAGAGUGGAGCUGAGGUACAUGGGAAACAGAUUGACAGCUAGUGAGAGCCAGGUGGAGGAACUGAAGAGAGACAAUGCAGCCCUGGAGACCAGACUGAGCGUCAGUGAGAGGCUGGGAGAGGAGCUGAAGAGAGAGAAUGCAGCACAAGCAGCAGCGCUGUCAGCCAUGGGAGCCAGAGUGACAGCCAGUGAGAGCCAG